AUUGAACGCUGGCGGCAGGCCUAACACAUGCAAGUCGAGCGGAUGAGGGGAGCUUGCUCCUGGAUUCAGCGGCGGACGGGUGAGUAAUGCCUAGGAAUCUGCCUGGUAGUGGGGGAUAACGUCCGGAAACGGGCGCUAAUACCGCAUACGUCCUGAGGGAGAAAGUGGGGGAUCUUCGGACCUCACGCUAUCAGAUGAGCCUAGGUCGGAUUAGCUAGUUGGUGGGGUAAAGGCCUACCAAGGCGACGAUCCGUAACUGGUCUGAGAGGAUGGUCAGUCACACUGGAGCUGAGACACGGUCCAGACUCCUACGGGAGGCAGCAGUGGGGAAUAUUGGACAAUGGGGGAAAGCCUGAUCCAGCCAUGCCGCGUGUGUGAAGAAGGUCUUCGGAUUGUAAAGCACUUUAAGUUGGGGGGAAGGGCAGUAAGUUAAUACCUUGCUGUUUUGACGUUACCGACAGAAUAAGCACCGGCUAACUUCGUG
rnacentral:rRNA from 1 species